rnacentral:rRNA from 1 species
UACGGAGGGUGCAAGCGUUAUCCGGAUUCACUGGGUUUAAAGGGUGCGUAGGCGGGCAGGUAAGUCCGUGGUGAAAUCUUCGAGCUUAACUCGGAAACUGCCAUUGAUACUAUUUAUCUUGAAUACUUUGGAGGUAAGCGGAAUAUGUCAUGUAGCGGUGAAAUGCUUAGAUAUGACAUAGAACACCAAUUGCGAAGGCAGCUUACUACACAGUAAUUGACACUGAGGCACGAAAGCGUGGGGAUCAAACAGG